GGGUUGUGAGGUUAAGCGACUAAGCGUACACGGUGGAUGCCCUGGCAGUCAGAGGCGAUGAAGGACGUGCUAAUCUGCGAUAAGCGUCGGUAAGGUGAUAUGAACCGUUAUAACCGGCGAUUUCCGAAUGGGGAAACCCAGUGUGAUCCGUCACACUAUCAUUACGUGAAUACAUAGCGUAAUGAAGCGAACCGGGGGAACUGAAACAUCUAAGUACCCCGAGGAAAAGAAAUCAACCGAGAUUCCCCCAGUAGCGGCGAGCGAACGGGGAGCAGCCCAGAGUCUGAAUCAGCUUGUGUGUUAGUGGAACGGUCUGGAAAGUCCGACGGUACAGGGUGAUAGUCCCGUACACCAAAAUGCACAGGUUGUGAACUCGAAGAGUAGGGCGGGACACGUGGUAUCCUGUCUGAAUAUGGGGGGACCAUCCUCCAAGGCUAAAUACUCCUGACUGACCGAUAGUGAACCAGUACCGUGAGGGAAAGGCGAAAAGAACCCCGGCGAGGGGAGUGAAAAAGAACCUGAAACCGUGU
rnacentral:rRNA from 1 species